rnacentral:rRNA from 1 species
UACGUAGGGGGCAAGCGUUGUCCGGAUUUAUUGGGCGUAAAGAGCGUGUCGGCGGCCAUGCAGGUCCGUUGUGAAAACUCGAGGCUCAACCUCGAGACGCCGAUGGAAACCGCAUGGCUAGAGUCCGGAAGAGGAGAGUGGAAUUCCUGGUGUAGCGGUGAAAUGCGCAGAUAUCAGGAAGAACACCCGUGGCUAAGGCGGCUCUCUAGUACGGUACUGACGCUGAGACGCGAAAGCGUGGGGAGCGAACAGG